GACGAACGCUGGCGGCGUGCCUAAUACAUGCAAGUCGAGCGAAGUUUUUCUGGUGCUUGCACCGGAAAAACUUAGCGGCGAACGGGUGAGUAACACGUAAAGAACCUGCCUCAUAGACUGGGACAACUAUUGGAAACGAUAGCUAAUACCGGAUAACAGCAUUAACUGCAUGGUUGAUGUUUAAAAGUUGGUUUUGCUAACACUAUGAGAUGGCUUUGCGGUGUAUUAGCUAGUUGGUGGGGUAAAGGCCUACCAAGGCGACGAUGCAUAGCCGACCUGAGAGGGUGAUCGGCCACACUGGGACUGAGACACGGCCCAGACUCCUACGGGAGGCAGCAGUAGGGAAUCUUCCGCAAUGGGCGAAAGCCUGACGGAGCAACGCCGCGUGAGUGAAGAAGGAUUUCGGUUCGUAAAGCUCUGUUGUUAGGGAAGAAUGAUUGUGUAGUAACUAUACACAGUAGAGACGGUACCUAACCAGAAAGCCACGGCUAACUACGUG
rnacentral:rRNA from 1 species